CUAGCGUUGUUCGGAAUCACUGGGCGUAAAGGGCGCGUAGGCGGCUUGAUACGUCGGGGGUGAAAGCCUGUGGCUCAACCACAGAAUUGCCUUCGAUACUGUCGAGCUUGAGACCGGAAGAGGUAAGUGGAACUGCGAGUGUAGAGGUGAAAUUCGUAGAUAUUCGCAAGAACACCAGUGGCGAAGGCGGCUUACUGGUCCGGUUCUGACGCUGAGGCGCGAAAGCGUGGGGAGCAAACAGG
rnacentral:rRNA from 1 species